AGCCAAAUUAUAUAACCCUUACCGUAUUUAUACAAUAAAAGUGUACUGAGCAUGUUAUAGUAGAAAGAAGACACAUUAUAGAAAUCUUAUACAUAAGAAUUUGGAUACCAAGAAAAAAAAUCUUUUCUCUAGUGAAACUAGAUCUGUAUGGAUAAUGGUUUGCUUUUAAUCUUUAACAAUACAGCCAAUCAACCUAACUGGUACAUCUGGUAACAGGUACAUCUCUUAUGGCUAAAAUGACCAGUGUGUGUGUUUUGUAUCAAGGAUAUGCAUGUUGUUGGUUUUGAAAAAAUGUUUGAUGUGACUGCCAAGGCUUUUUACAAAUCUUUUGUAUCACAUACAACUCAAUUUACUUCUAUUGGCUGGAAAUAUUUAAAGCAUGACAGUGGCGUAGGUAAAUUACCAAAUAGUGGAUUUUAUGUUGGAUUGAUCAGCCCUGAUGAACUGACCUGACCAUUGUAAUUGAAACCAUAACUCAUGACCACUCUAUCUGUAUAGGUCCUGGUAUACCCUGGGAUGAUGUUCACCCACAACUUUUAACUUGAAAUCUUAAAGGAAGUUUUGCUAAACUAACAAGCAUGAAUGUCUGGUACAGUAAGAUAGGGUUAAUGGUCAACCUGACAUUAUGGUUCAUUCAUUGGGACAGCUAAUGUUUGUGUCUGGCUUGAUGAAGUCUACAAACUGACCACUAUAUCUACUGGACAAAAAGGAUCAUAUUCUGACCCCGUCCCUCCCAACCAUUUCCUCUGCCUCAUCUUGAUGACUUUGAAGGGUACAAAUGCACUUGGAGCUUUUGAUGGUGUUCUGUUCAAUGCAACUAUUCCCACAUCUCCAGCAGCUGGCUUUGCAGCUAUUGGCGCAGACAGCUAUGGCUUGGAUGAUUUUGAUAAUUAUCUGCUUCCGCUCUUCAAAACUCAAACGCACGUUUGCCAUGUUGCAGUUAAUUCCUUGCCACUCUGGUACUGUGUGUGGUACAGAACCACCUUCACAUUUAUUUUUCUAAUUAGACAUUAAGCUUUCCAUGUGCUGAAAUUUAGCAAUGUAGAACAGGAAAUAAAUUGUCUGUGACAGUUCAAAGUGUGUAUACAUUUUUUUGACGCACCCUGUAAAUAUAUUGUAUUCAGUGAUUUUUUUAUUUUACCAUUUUCUAAUAUUAGUUUGUUAGCUCAAUAACUAUUAACCUUUUAGAUUGUUAUCUUUCAUAAUGUUAAGACUAGAAAACAAGAUCUCAAAAUUAUAUUUAGGACGAUGAUUACAAUUACUUAGUCAAUUACUUAAAUAAAAUAAUUAUAAAACAAAAGUUAUAUAAAGACAUAAUUAUACAAUGUUUAUGUUUUGUAUGUUCAUAAAAAUGUGUAUAGCAGUGUUAUGGAGUGUGUGUGUGGGUGUUUCCAAGGUAACGUUGAGAAAUUAGCGAUUGGUUGGUGGAUAUGCAGUGAGGAUGGUGAAAUUACAAAAAUGGUCUAGUGUAAUGCAAAGUACCCAGGGAUCUGAAACUGGACAGACAGGUUUUUUGUAGUGAGUUAGAUUUUGUUUAAAAUACCAUUUUAUAUUAUUGCUACUAGAUUUAUUUCAUUUCAUCUAGGUUAGUAUUAGGGUUAGUGUUAUGUUGUAAUAAAAGUUAUAUUUAGUUUUGUUUCAUAAAAAGAAGAUUUUUCAAGUUUCACAAUUAAAUAUAUAUAUAUAUCCAAGCAGUAGUUCUCACCAAACUUUCAUACACUGGCAGAACUACCUUAAAAAAAUGUUCUGCUGGAGGCUGGUGUGGGUAGUAUAGAAGAAAUACUGCAUGCCAAAUGGUAUCUUCAAGGAUGGUGUAACGGGGUGCUCCUGUAAGCACUAUAAAGAUUAACUCAGGCACCUUUUUGCCAUAGAGGAAAGUAGGUUGUAAUAGGGUUUAUGAAAACACUGCACUCAUCUUUUAUCUUCAGCAUCAUUAUUAUUAUUAAACCAUUACUCAAAUUUUGCUUUGUUAUUUUGCCAUGUAGCCAUUUACUGCUGCUGGGGUGAACAAUGCUUAAAAAAAUACAAAUAUGCUGUGUUUUUACUUUGGCCCAGCGGUGGCUCCCACAUUUAUGUCUUUUGUAUUUUUCUAUUAUACCAGUUCUGUUACUAUGCAAAUGCAAAAAAAAAAAUGCAAGUUGUUGCACUAUUGAUAUUUUUUAUACUAAUUUUUUAUUUAUAUUAUUAAUUAUUUAUUAUUAUCUAAGCAUCUGUUUGUAUUUGAGCUGGGUAAUGAAUAUAGAUUCUUAAAUUUAAUUGUUGUUUGUUGCUUUCCUCACUUUUAAACUGUGACCAGGUACAUUUUGUCUAGAUGGAAAAUGGUAAUGUCUUAGUGUCAAUGAUUAGAUUGAGAAUGGUAAUGUCUUAGUGUCAUUGAUUAGAUUGAGAAUGGUAAUGUCGUAGUGCCAAUGAUAACAGUGAGAAUGGUAAUGUCUUAGUGUCAAUGAUAACAGUGAGAAUGGUAAUGUCUAGUGUCACUGAUUAGAUUGAGAAUGGUAAUGUCUUAGUGUCAAUGAUAACAGUGAGAAUGGUAAUGUCUUAGUGUCAAUGAUUAGAUUGAGAAUGGUAAUGUCUUAGUGUCAAUGAUAACAGUGAGAAUGGUAAUGUCUUAGUGUCAAUGAUAACAGUGAGAAUGGUAAUGUCUAGUGUCAAUGAUUAGAUUGAGAAUGGUAAUGUCUUAGUGUCAAUGAUAACAGUGAGAAUGGUAAUGUCUUAGUGUCAAUGAUUAGAUUGAGAAUGGUAAUGUCUUUGUGUCAUUGAUUAGAUUGAGAAUGGUAAUGUCGUAGUGCCGAUGAUAACAGUGAGAAUGGUAAUGUCUUAGUGUCAAUGAUAACAGUGAGAAUGGUAAUGUCUAGUGUCACUGAUUAGAUUGAGAAUGGUAAUGUCGUAGUGCCAAUGAUAACAGUGAGAAUGGUAAUGUCUUAGUGCCAAUGAUAACAGUGAGAAUGGUAAUGUCUUAGUGCCAAUGAUAACAGUGAGACAAUGAUUAGAUUGAGGAUGGUAAUGUCUUAGUGUCAAUGGUGUAACACUAUGAUUAGAGUGAGAUGCACGAGAUGAUUACAGUUCACGUGAAAAUGGGUCUUACACAUUGUCAAGCAAUGAGGUACCAUUUUUGAUCACAUGACCACGUUUGUUUUAGUAAGCUAGCGCCAUGAUGUAUCAAGAGACGGAGGUGUCUCUGUUUUAUGAAAUUGGAUUAAAUAAUAUGAGUACCUAAGUGGACAUUUUUCUAUGGAUGUAGUUUGUAUUUGAUGUGAAAUAAUUCAGGAUGAUAUUUUAUGGCUGAGAUUGCCUACUUUCUGAACUAUUAUUUGAUGUAAUAAAUAUUUGUCUGACAGA